rnacentral:tRNA from 1 species
CAGGGUGUAGCGCAGCCCGGUAGCGUACCUGUUUUGGGAACAGGGAGUCGUAGGUUCAAAUCCUGCCACCUUGA